rnacentral:rRNA from 1 species
GAUGAACGCUGGCGGCGUGCCUAAUACAUGCAAGUCGAGCGAACAGACGCGGAGCUUGCUCCUCUGACGUUAGCGGCGGACGGGUGAGUAACACGUGGAUAACCUACCUAUAAGACUGGGAUAACUUCGGGAAACCGGAGCUAAUACCGGAUAAUAUAUUGAACCGCAUGGUUCAAUAGUGAAAGACGGUUUUGCUGUCACUUAUAGAUGGAUCCGCGCCGCAUUAGCUAGUUGGUAAGGUAACGGCUUACCAAGGCAACGAUGCGUAGCCGACCGGAGAGGGUGAUCGGCCACACUGGAACUGAGACACGGUCCAGACUCCUACGGGAGGCAGCAGUAGGGAAUCUUCCGCAAUGGGCGAAAGCCUGACGGAGCAACGCCGCGUGAGUGAUGAAGGUCUUCGGAUCGUAAAACUCUGUUAUGAGGGAAGAACAAAUGUGUAAGUAACUAUGCACGUCUUGACGGUACCUAAUCAGAAAGCCACGGCUAACUACGUG